AUUGAACGCUGGCGGCAUGCUUUACACAUGCAAGUCGGACUAGUGGCGAACGGGUGAGUAAUAUAUCGGAACGUACCGAGUAAUGGGGGAUAACUAAUCGAAAGAUUAGCUAAUACCGCAUAUUAUUCGAGCUGCCGAUAUCUGAUUAGCUCGUGGGGUGGGUAAAGGCCGACCAAGGCGACGAUCAGUAGCGGGUCUGAGAGGAUGAUCCGCCAGACGGGGACUGAGACAUGGCCCAGACUCCUACGGGAGGCAGCAGUGGGGAAUUGUGGACAAUGGGCGCAAGCCUGAUCCAGCCAUGCCGCGUGUCUGAAGAAGGCCUUCGGGUUGUAAAGGACUUUUGUCAGGGAAGCGGUACCUGAAGAAUAAGCACCGGCUAACUACGUGCCAGCAGCCGCGGUAAUUC
rnacentral:rRNA from 1 species